AAGGUAUAAAUAUGACUUUAUAGCCAAAAUUCAUUUAGGGUUUUCUUUUGGGGAAAGGAUGAGAACAUAAGCUUUCCUUUCUUUCUAAAGUGGCCGGCCUCCUUGGAGGGUUUAGCUAGCAAUCCUACUACUCCAAGGUCACUCAUUUCUUUUCCAAUCUAACCUUGGUGAAGAGACUUAGAGGUUCUCAAUUUUGGGAACUUGGAGAACCAUUUCAUCCAUCCAAAUCCAUAGAUCUAAGAUGCAAGGAAUGAAGGCCCUCUCUUUGGGUGAUUAGUCUUUGCUUAUGCAAAGAGGAAUCUACAAAGGUAUAAUUUCUCAACUAACAAAUGUUGUUUUAAGUUGAGUCAAGGUUCACCAAUCUACUAGGCUUUGAAUUUCAUGGUUAAUGUUUUGUUUUUAAGUGCAUACAAGCAUGAUUCCGCCUUUUAAUUGUUAAUUGCAUGCUAUAGAUGUUGCUUAAAUGAACAUGUUUUUCACAAAAUUUCCUUCAAGUGGUAUCAGAGCCUAGGUCUAGUAGUUGGUGAAUCCUUUUGGGUUUUGUAGUUCAUAGUCUUUGAUUUAAAUGUUGUAAUAUGUUACAAGCUUUAUUCUUGCUUCUUCGAAUGUAAAUUUUGUUAGAAAAUUUGCCAUCUCAAAUGUUGUAGAUGUAGUUCAUAUGAGCAUGAAUAUUGGAGCUAAAAUUUGGUGCCAUGUUUUUGGGAAAAUUUGGCCAAAUCCAAAGGGUGGAUUUUUGGGUGUUGGAAGUAUGCCCACAAAGCCACUCAUUUGAUGUAAUAGCUUUUGGAAUACUUAUUGUAUUAAACUUUUAUAUGUUUAAUGAAGGGCAAAGCUUAUUGUUAAUCACUAUUUAUUGUAUCUUGUGUUUAAGCAAUAAGGGAAUCCAAGGAAUGUAUUUGAUCUAAGAGAUAAGUGAUUUAAGUAAGUUAGAUUAACGAGACCUUUCUCUUAUGUUCAUUCCUAAAACGUUCCUAGCCAUAGGAUUGCCAAUUGGACAUUGACAAUCCGCUAAGGUUAGUAUGUGUUAUGUUGACUCAAGCGCGAGUAUGACAAGUCUCAAGUCAUUUAGUGUUGGACACUAAGACAAACACAUAGGUGCUCGAAAGAGUAAUCGAGUACACUGAACAACGAUCAAAAGAGAAUUCAAACAUACAUGUCAUGUAAGAACUCGAUAGUUGCAAUAUGCAAAGUAGUCCUUUGACCUGAGGCAUCAUAGAUGUCUAAUGGUUAGGUCCUUGAUCUUUGAUCAUGUUAAAUUGCAUUCCAUUGGAGUGUCCACGACAUUGUUGGGAUCAAGCUAUCUAGUCAUGUAGGCAUAUGAAUGCACAACAAGGGAUCUCUAACCUUCUAUGGUGGAAGGAGAAUACUCUAAGAUAUGAUUCGGGAGUCUUUGGCCAAAGCAUAUGAAUAUGACUUAGGAAAUUUGUUCCAAAUCAUAUUUAAUCGAAUCAUAUAGAGAAGUAUCACAUUGGAUAGUAGACAUGAAACAAACUCUUACUCAAACAAUGUGAUUAAGAGUAUUGUAUUAGAGAAGGACCGUAUUGCAUUGUAGUUGUAACUGGAUAGGUUCUCCAACCACUUCUACUUAGCUUGGGUAACCAUGAUAUGCUGUUAGGUGUCACUCAUGGUUUGUGGAAGCCUUGAAGAUUAGCCAACACUAAUCAAAGGGAGAAUUGAAAUGUUGUUUCAAUUCACAAUCGAUCGUUAAGAGUAACAAUCGCCCACUGCCUCGCUAAUUGGAACCUAAUAGACCAUACACCGAGUAAGGGUGAAAGUGAAGAAAUAUAAAUGAGAUGGAUAAGCAAUUAAAUAGUUUAAUUAAGAAUGGUCAAGAUUAAUUAAUUAGUUAAUUAAUUUUACGAAAGGUUCGUAUUGGGCUUUUAGGUUGGUUUUGGGCUUCGGGGCUCAAAAGCGUUUUGGUCCACAAGGCCCAUUAUGUUUAAGUUGUAUGACAACUAAAACAAAAUGGGCAAUUAGCCCAAUAACAAUGGUAAGGCCGGCCAUAAGGGUGAGGGUAGCAAACUUGGAUUAAUUACAAGUUUGCCACUCACUUGAAAUGAAGUAUAAAAUCAACUUUAUAGCUUUAUUUCUCAUUAGGGUUUUUCUUGGUGAAAUAAGGUGAAACACUUUCUCUCAUUUUCUCUAAAGAGGCCGGCCACUUAGAGGGGAAUUAGCUAGCAAUCUUUUCUUCUCUAAGUCAUCCAUUUCAUCUUCACACUUCAUCCUUGGUGUGGAGACUUAGAGACAUCAAGCUUUAGAUGUUUUUGGAGAACUAAUCCUCAAAUCCUUAAAGAAGCAAAGGAGCACUAAAAGGAGGAAAAUCACAAGGAAGAUCCAAGAAGCAAGGAGGUGACUUGAAGGCCCUCCACUUGGGUGAAUCCCUUGUGUAAUCAAGGAUGAGCUUCAAGGGUAAAGAAACUCUAAAUCUUUCCUUCUCUUUAAUGUUGUUAAAGAGUUUAUUGGUUCACCAUAUACUAGGCUUUGAAGGUCAUGGGUUUUAUGAAUUGUUUUUGAAUGCAUGCCUACUUUAAUGUGUUAAUAGUUUGCAUAUGUAUUCAAAUGUUCUUACUUGUUCUUAGCUAGGACAAAAUUUUUCCUUCAUUGGGUUCAUGUUUGACUUGUUAAAAUUGUUUUCAAGUAACUUUUGGAACCCCUAUGUACCCUAGUUUGGUUAUAUGUUAUUUCCCUUAAGUUUGAAUGGUUUUGGGAUGUUUUUGGGUGAAAAAUGUUCAUGGAAUUUUUUUGAGUUUUUCAUGAGUGUUCUUCAUUGUUCUUGACAUUUUUGCCAAGAACAAAAAGUUUGGUGUUUUGAUUCAAAGUUUUGAUUUAUUUCAUAAAGUUUAUGUUUUAUGUUUUAUGUUUUUCAUAUGUUUAAAUGUAUUAGAUAUUUGUUUAGAAAGGUGAUGGAAUUAUUGGUGGGUGUGUAAGGAUUAAUUCCCUUUCACACACACCACUUGCACCACUUGCAUGCUUUAUGUCAAACUUACCAAUCAACACACACAUCACUCCUUUCACCUCUCCAAAACCGGCCACCCUACAAGUGGGGUGUUUUUGGGGCUUUUAUGCAAUUACAUAAAGUUUUGAUACUUUUAUGUAUUUGCACUUUGGCACAAAAGUUUACGCUUUUACGUAAAGGCCCAAAAUCAUUAAAGGACAAAUUGUUUUGUUCCUGUAAUGAAGUUUUUGUAUUUGUUGAAAUUUUUGGGUUCUAGUUGUAAUUACAUGAAGUAGUGGACUUUUGUAUUUUUACAAAAUGAGGUCAAAAGUUUAAGUUUGCAACAUAGCCCAAAAAGUUGAGGUUAUUGCAUUUUGGCCCAAAUUAGGUUGAGAACAAAAUGGUUUUGUCUCUUUAAAUGAGAAUUUUCAUUUCAUUUAGCUCCAUUUAAAUCAAUUCUAUGGAUACAAAAAAACCAAAUGAAAAUGUUGCAUUCAAUUUAAUUAGUUAAAGUGUUAAUUAAUUAAAGGGUGAUUAUGAACCUAAGCCUACGAUAAUUGAGCUAUGUGAAAGGCCGUUUCAAAUUUGUUUGAACCAUGGGAAUGUGUAGAUUAGAUUUUGGUUGUAAUUUGAUUUGAUCAAAUGUUGUAAAAGAGCAUAAGCUCUUCUGUACUUUAAAGUAAUUUGUUUUAUUCAAAUGUUGUAAAGAGCAUAAGCUCAUCUUUACUUUGAAGUACUUCUUUCUUGUAUUAUUUGAUAUGCAUGAAAAUGGAGUAGAGGGUCCAACGCCCCUAAGACAACACGCCUUAAUGUGAUUAAACGCGUAACUAAAAUCAAUCACCAUCCCUAGACCAAGAUUCAACACUAGGCUCGUGUUGAAUCUAAACAAAGGUUCAUAGUCAUCCUAAGGCCCUAAGGCAACUAUAUAGUCCAUCAAAUGAAUGCAAAGUUUAUGUUAGUAGUAUCAUAUAAUCUUUCUUUAAAAACCAUUUUAUAAGCAUAGUGGGAGUAUUAUAUACAACUAAAUUCAAUCAAAUGGACCAAUAGUUGUAAUAGGACCAAAAUUGUUUUAAUAAAGAUUAAAAUGAAUAUUUAUAUGUGAUGAGACCUAAAAACCCUCAACCAAACCAUUAUUAAGUUGAGAAGUGUGAGAGUGCUUUGAACACUCUUUUGUGGCCUUCCACCAUGGUAGGCUCCGAUCGUUUGUGACUCGUACACCGGCUUCACCCUAUCAUGGGGGAGUACAAAGUGCGUGCUUACACUCAGGAGGAGUCUAUAUGCAUACUUGAUGUUGUGAAAGAUAGGCAACGAGAAUAGCCAACAUCAUAUCAUUGUGAGGUUGUUCUUGAACCCCUACCCGAACUUGCAUGGUGGGAAUGACUUAACUAAGUGCAAUGGAGCCAACAUCAUAUCAUUGUGAGGUUACAUUCUCUAGAGGCCAAAUAAGAUGGGUACUUGCAAGAGAUGCAAAUGAGUAAGCGUACUCUCUCAUUAUUAUUAAUGCUAGCCAACAUCAUAUCAUUGUGAGGUGGGCUUGGUAAUAGUGAGUCUCCCAUACCCUACUAAGAGUUACAUCCAAAACUCUCGAAUUCCAAUGAGGGAUAUGGAAUUUGCCAAAAAUAGUGGGUGGUGCUAUUUGAUUUAAAGACCUGAAUCAAAUGGCUUAAAAUCAAUCAAUUUAUAUUCAUUAUGUAUUUGUUUACCAAUAUAUUUGCAAACACUAUCCAAAACUUGACAAAGAAAAGCCGAAUGCUUUAGUUUCCGGACUUGGUACAACAAUCCCAAAGAUUGUCUUAAAUGGAUUGUAUAUGUACCUAAGUAGUCUCAUCCUCACAAUCUUCCUAUUGAUAAUGUACCAUUGGAAGAACA
rnacentral:lncRNA from 1 species